rnacentral:rRNA from 1 species
CAGCAGGCACGCAAAUUACCCAUUGGUCGAAGACCGAGGUAGUGACGAAAAAUAACGAUACCGGACUCAUCCGAGGCCCGGUAAUCGGAAUGAGUACACUUUAAAUCCUUUAACGAGGAACAAUUGGAGGGCAAGUCUGGUGCCAGCAGCCGCGGUAAUUCCAGCUCCAAUAGCGUAUAUUAAAGUUGUUGCAGUUAAAAAGCUCGUAGUUGGAUCUCGGCGAGUAGGGGCCGGUUCGAGGAAAUCUCGUUACUGGUCCAUGAUCUCGUGUUUUUUGGCGGAGGUUUCAUGGUGCUCUUAACCGAGUGUCUUGGAGCGCCGUCAGGUUUACUUUGAAAAAAUUAGAGUGCUCAAAGCAGGCUUUACAAGCUUGAAUAUUCGUGCAUGGAAUAAUAGAAUAGGAUGUCAUUUCUAUUUUGUUGGUUUUCGGAAAUUGACAUAAUGAUUAAUAGGGACGGUCGAGGGCAUUAGUAUUCAGACGACAGAGGUGAAAUUCUUGGACCGUCUGAAGACUAACUACUGCGAAAGCAUUUGCCAAGAAUGUUUUCAUUAAUCAAGAACGAAAGUUAGAGGUUCGAAGGCGAUCAGAUACCGCCCUAGUUCUAACCAUAAACGAUGCCAGCUAGCGAUCCGCAGUCGUUUUUUUAUUAGGCUCUGCGGGAAGCUUCCGGGAAACCAAAGCUUUUGGGUUCUGGGGGAAGUAUGGUUGCAAAGCUGAAACUUAAAGGAAUUGACGGAAGGGCACCACCAGGAGUGGAGCCUGCGGCUUAAUUUGACUCAACACGGGAAAUCUCACCAGGCCCGGACACUGGAAGGAUUGACAGAUUGAGAGCUCUUUCUCGAUUCGGUGGGUGGUGGUGCAUGGCCGUUCUUAGUUGGUGGAGUGAUUUGUCUGGUUAAUUCCGAUAACGAACGAGACUCUGUCCUGCUAAAUAGUUUAAAUGUCUGUUUAACUACAUUUGAAUUUCUUCUUAGAGGGACUGGCGGCGUCUAGCCGCACGAGAUUGAGCAAUAACAGGUCUGUGAUGCCCUUAGAUGUUCUGGGCUGCACGCGCGCUACACUGAAGGGCUCAGCGUGUUUUCUCCUUUCCCGAGAGGGACGGGUAACCCGCUGAACUCCCUUCGUGGUAGGGAUCGGGGCUUGCAAUUAUUCCCCGUGAACCAGGAAUUCCCAGUAAGCGCAAGUCAUAAGCUUGCGUUGAUUACUUCCCUGCCCUUUGUACACACCGCCCGUCG